rnacentral:rRNA from 1 species
AACGAACGCUGGCGGCGCGUCUUAAGCAUGCAAGUCGAACGGCAAGAGAGGAGCUUGCUUCUCUCCUAGAGUGGCGGACUGGUGAGGAACACGUGGGUAAUCUACCCUUAAGAUGGGGAUAGCUGCUAGAAAUAGCAGAUAAUACCGAAUACACUCGGCGCUUCAUAAGAGGCGUUGAGGAAAGGAAGCUACGGCUUCGCUUGAGGAUGAGCUUGCGUCCCAUUAGCUAGUUGGUGAGGUAACGGCCCACCAAGGCGACGAUGGGUAUCCGGCCUGAGAGGGUGAACGGACACAUUGGGACUGAGAUACGGCCCAAACUCCUACGGGAGGCAGCAGCUAAGAAUAUUCCGCAAUGGACGGAAGUCUGACGGAGCGACGCCGCGUGGAUGAAGAAGGCUGAAAAGUUGUAAGAUCCUUUUGUUGAUGAAGAAUAAGGAUGAGAGGGAAUGCUCAUCUGAUGACGGUAAUCGACGAAUAAGCCCCG